UUUUGGACAAUGGGGGAGACCCUGAUCCAGCCAUCCCGCGUGUAUGAUGAAGGCCNUCNNGUUGUNANGCACUUUAAGUUGGGNNNNNGGGCAGUAAGUUAAUACCUUGCUGUUUUGACGUUACCGACAGAAUAAGCACCGGCUAACUUCGUGCCAGCAGCCGCGGUAAUACGAAGGGUGCAAGCGUUAAUCGGAAUUACUGGGCGUAAAGCGCGCGUAGGUGGUUCAGUAAGAUGGAAGUGAAAUCCCCGGGCUUAACCUGGGAACUGCUUUCAUAACUGCUGAGCUAGAGUACGGUAGAGGGUAGUGGAAUUUCCUGUGUAGCGGUGAAAUGCGUAGAUAUAGGAAGGAACACCAGUGGCGAAGGCAGCCUCCUGGGAUAACACUGACGCUCAUGCACGAAAGCGUGGGGAGCAAACAGG
rnacentral:rRNA from 1 species